ACACAAGACAAAACAACAACAAUGAACAACAUCAUCAUCAUCUGGACUCUGACUCUCUGCAUUCAGGAGAUCUGGGGACAAGUGACAGUGACUCAGAAUCCAGAAAUAAAAUCCAUCAAACAAGGAGAAACUGUUACGAUCAGCUGUAAAACCAGUCAGCCGAUUUCUGGCUGUAGUGACUGUGUGUCUUGGUAUCAGCAGAAACCUGGAGAAGCUCCUAAACUCCUCAUUUAUGACAUAAGAAGCCUUUAUUCAGGAACUCCAUCUAGAUUCAGUGGCAGUGGAUCUGACACUGAUUUCUCUCUGACCAUCAGUGGAGUCCAGACUGAAGAUACAGGAGAUUAUUACUGUCAGAGUUACCAUUACAUCAACAGUAAAUAUGUGUUCACACAGUGA